GGGGGGGGGGGGGGGGGGGCGGGGGGGGGGGAGGGGGGGGGGGGGGGGGGGGUGGGGGGGGCGCGGGUGGCGAAGGGGGGAGGAACACGGGGGUAAGCUGCCCACAACUUUGGGGGAAGGCUAGGAAACUGGGGCUAGUACUGGGUAUGGGCUCCUGCUGCAUGGGGGGGGUUGGAAAGCUCCGGGGGUUGUGGAUGGACUCGCGGCCUAUCAGCUUGUUGGUGGGGGAGUGGCCUACCAAGGCGGCGACGGGUAGCCGGCCUGAGAGGGUGACCGGCCACAUUGGGACUGAGAUACGGCCCAGACUCCUACGGGAGGCAGCAGUGGGGAAUAUUGCACAAUGGGCGCAAGCCUGAUGCAGCAACGCCGCGUGCGGGAUGACGGCCUUCGGGUUGUAAACCGCUUUCAGCAGGGACGAAGCUUUUUGUGACGGUACCUGCAGAAGAAGCACCGGCUAACUACGUG
rnacentral:rRNA from 1 species